rnacentral:rRNA from 1 species
CAAUAGCGUAUAUUAAAGUUGUUGCAGUUAAAAAGCUCGUAGUUGGAUUUCUGGUUGAAGCGACCGGUCGGGCGUUGAUUCGUCUGCACUGGAGUCGGUUUUGGCCAUCCUCUAGGAAAGUGCGUCUGGUAUUAAGUUAUCGGGCGUAUGAUCCUGGUCUUUUACUGUGAAAAAAUUAGAGUGUUUAAAGCAGGCCUUCGCCUUGAGUACAUUAGCAUGGAAUAAUAAGAUAGGACUUUGGUCUAUUUUGUUGGUUUGCAGACCGAAGUAAUGAUUAAUAGGGAUAGUUGGGGGUAUUUAUAUUCCGAUGUCAGAGGUGAAAUUCUUAGAUUUUCGGAAGAUAAACUUAUGCGAAAGCAUUUACCAAGGAUGUUUNCACUAA